rnacentral:rRNA from 1 species
UUAAAUUGAAGAGUUUGAUCAUGGCUCAGAUUGAACGCUGGCGGCAGGCCUAACACAUGCAAGUCGAACGGUAACAGGAAGCAGCUUGCUGCUUCGCUGACGAGUGGCGGACGGGUGAGUAAUGUCUGGGAAACUGCCUGAUGGAGGGGGAUAACUACUGGAAACGGUAGCUAAUACCGCAUAAUGUCGCAAGACCAAAGAGGGGGACCUUCGGGCCUCUUGCCAUCGGAUGUGCCCAGAUGGGAUUAGCUUGUUGGUGGGGUAACGGCUCACCAAGGCGACGAUCCCUAGCUGGUCUGAGAGGAUGACCAGCCACACUGGAACUGAGACACGGUCCAGACUCCUACGGGAGGCAGCAGUGGGGAAUAUUGCACAAUGGGCGCAAGCCUGAUGCAGCCAUGCCGCGUGUAUGAAGAAGGCCUUCGGGUUGUAAAGUACUUUCAGCGGGGAGGAAGGGAGUAAAGUUAAUACCUUUACUCAUUGACGUUACCCGCAGAAGAAGCACCGGCUAACUCCGUGCCAGCAGCCGCGGUAAUACGGAGGGUGCAAGCGUUAAUCGGAAUUACUGGGCGUAAAGCGCACGCAGGCGGUUUGUUAAGUCAGAUGUGAAAUCCCCGGGCUCAACCUGGGAACUGCAUCUGAUACUGGCAAGCUUGAGUCUCGUAGAGGGGGGUAGAAUUCCAGGUGUAGCGGUGAAAUGCGUAGAGAUCUGGAGGAAUACCGGUGGCGAAGGCGGCCCCCUGGACGAAGACUGACGCUCAGGUGCGAAAGCGUGGGGAGCAAACAGGAUUAGAUACCCUGGUAGUCCACGCCGUAAACGAUGUCGACUUGGAGGUUGUGCCCUUGAGGCGUGGCUUCCGGAGCUAACGCGUUAAGUCGACCGCCUGGGGAGUACGGCCGCAAGGUUAAAACUCAAAUGAAUUGACGGGGGCCCGCACAAGCGGUGGAGCAUGUGGUUUAAUUCGAUGCAACGCGAAGAACCUUACCUGGUCUUGACAUCCACGGAAGUUUUCAGAGAUGAGAAUGUGCCUUCGGGAACCGUGAGACAGGUGCUGCAUGGCUGUCGUCAGCUCGUGUUGUGAAAUGUUGGGUUAAGUCCCGCAACGAGCGCAACCCUUAUCCUUUGUUGCCAGCGGUCCGGCCGGGAACUCAAAGGAGACUGCCAGUGAUAAACUGGAGGAAGGUGGGGAUGACGUCAAGUCAUCAUGGCCCUUACGACCAGGGCUACACACGUGCUACAAUGGCGCAUACAAAGAGAAGCGACCUCGCGAGAGCAAGCGGACCUCAUAAAGUGCGUCGUAGUCCGGAUUGGAGUCUGCAACUCGACUCCAUGAAGUCGGAAUCGCUAGUAAUCGUGGAUCAGAAUGCCACGGUGAAUACGUUCCCGGGCCUUGUACACACCGCCCGUCACACCAUGGGAGUGGGUUGCAAAAGAAGUAGGUAGCUUAACCUUCGGGAGGGCGCUUACCACUUUGUGAUUCAUGACUGGGGUGAAGUCGUAACAAGGUAACCGUAGGGGAACCUGCGGUUGGAUCACCUCCUUACCUUAAAGAAGC